rnacentral:lncRNA from 1 species
AGAUACUUUCAACAGCAGAGUCGACGCUACCCAGAUUCACUUUGGUAAGCAAUCGGUGACAACGGAAAGGACCGGCUUUUCUGUGCACACAUUGCUGGUGCUAAGGUCCAUGCAGUGCAGCCUGCAGCAGCCUGGGCUGGCUCAGCAUUCCGGGCACUCUUCCCUGCCUUGCUCUGACGCUCAGGCUCAGCCAGAGGUAGAUUUGAGUUGGCUGUUUUUCUGCUUAGAGCAGCUCUCCCACCCAGGAUCUGCUUCCCGGUCUUCAUUACAUGCAUCCAUGCCAUCCGCUUAGGCCUUACAGAUUCCUCUUUCUCCCGACGACGGAAGAUAAUCAGGGACCCCAGAACUCUUGACCUCUCAACCCUGACCCCUCUCUUAGCUCUCCAGCUGAGUGUUCGUUAUGAUGUGGGCGGAGGGCAGCAGGGAGAACUCUCUCUGUGUGUCCUGAUCCCUGGGAAAAUGCAUGGCUUGUAGUCAUGCCCUGUGUCUUUCAUGUCCUAUGUGUAUAUGCUAACCACAGACAAGAGACCACCUGAUAAAAAGAAAUCCAUCACAGGACGUGUGAAGGAGGCAGCAACCACGUGGAACUCGUGUCUCGAACACAGUGCAGUCUUCACACCUCAGCGCUGGGCAUCGGGAGGCAGCCUUCAUGUGAUGCUACCCUAUGAGGCCAGCAAGGGCUCCCGGGAAAUGAAAACGGCAGCAGCCGGCACCCAGUCCCAGCAGCAGACAGGAGCAGGUUAAUCCACACCAUGGACACUGUCUAUGCAAAGCGGAUAUUUGGUCCCAGAUGGCUCAACCCUUGGCUAUUACACAUCCUUAAAGCUGACACUGGCAUAGCACAUGGGUAUGUAACACUUAAAGUAUUGCUGCAACCCUUCAGGAAGGAUGUCCUGGAAAGCUGCACACCCCCAGGCGUCAGCCUUCUGACAUCGCAUGAGGAGGGGCUAAAUGACAUUUGGAGACCAUGUGUGCUGAUGUGGUUUGGAUGUGUGUCCCUCCAAAACGUAUGUGAAAUGUGAUCCCCAGUGUUAGAGGGGAGGCCUGGUGGGAGGUACUAGAUCACAGAAGUGAAUCAGUCAUGUCAUGAACAGUUCAGCACCAACCCCUUGAUAUGAGUUAGUUCUCACUCAGUCAGUUCACCUGAGCUCUGGGUGUUUAAACGUCUGGGAACCCCCUCCUCUCCUGCUCCCACUCUUGCCAUGUGAUGCUUUGGCCCCCUUCACCCACCACCACAAUUGGAAGCUUCCUGAGGCCUCACCAGAAGCAGACGCCAGCACCAUACUUCCUGUACAGCCUGCAGAACUGUGAGCCAAUUUAACCUCUUUUCCUUAUAAAUUAUGCAGCCUCAGGUAUUUCUUUACAGCAUUGCAAUAACAGGCUAAUGCAUGGAUCAUCAAGAAGAUGGAUUUCCACAUUUGAUUAAAUAAUAUGCAGCUAAUUGGCCAAUAGAGUGAUUGUGCUUUAUUGAUCCUUUCCUACUAGGGUACGGUCUAUUUGCAAUCUGAGACAGCUUCUUACAAAGCAAGUUAAUUAUUUAUUGACCACAGCAUACUAAGCAGACAUCUGUUUUUUUGCAUCCGUCCAUCAGGAUACUCUUAGCAAUGCUUGAGCAUACUUGGUAGCCGACUCCAAGCAGUGCAAGAAAGUGCAGUCACUUUUAUUUUAUCCUGGAGUUAUCUGCCUUAGUCCUCAUCCCUAUGGAAGUCUCUUCCCUGGCUGUGAACUGCCUCAUUUGAUUCCCUGGAUUUUUAGUCUCUGUUGCUGCCCCCAGGCUACACAUCAGAUGAGUGCCCUUGACCUUGAAGGAUGGGAAGACCACAGCAGUUGAGCUUCAAUGACCCCCAUUGCCACUUCACUCUCCAAGCUGGCCAUUGCUUUUCAUAAAGCACCGCAAAACUUAGUGUCUUUAAAAACAACACUAAAUCACAUUGUUCUCAAAUCGAGCGUUCUUAGGGUUCAGGUCAUCAGCUCACCCCAGGGGAAUGUUGGACAACUGAGUCUGCAGCCAUCUGUACAAUGAUGAAACCAAGGUUGAGCAUCUUGGGAGGAGUGUGGGGUAGAAAGGUAAAACACAGUUCCUGGUUGGAUUAAGGAAGGCACACGGUGACAGGAUUUGGCAGCCCACUGGGGAUGUCUGGCCAUGUCUAAGGUUUGG